UACAGUGCAGAGCUCUGAAGUUGAGGAACAAGAUGUUUUCCAUCCAGUGGAAGAACUCAAACAAGUUGCUCUCCAGCCUUCUGAAGGUGGUCAUGGCUUCAGUGUGGCUAGGAUCCAGUGUUGCCCAGAAAGUAACUCAAACCCAACUGGCAAAGUUAGUGCAGGAGAAGGAGGCUGUGACCCUGAACUGCAGAUAUGAUACCAGUGAUGGAAGUUAUAGUCUAUUCUGGUACAAACAACCCAGCAGUGGGGCAAUGAUUUUCCUUAUUGGUCAGGAAUCUUAUCAACAAAAUGCCACAGAAGGUCGCUACUCAUUGAAUUUCCAGAAGGCAAACAAGUCCAUUAAUCUUGUCAUCUCAGCUUCAGAGAUCAAGGACUCCGCAGUGUAUUUCUGUGCGCUGAGUGAGCCCACAGUGAGAGGCAUGUUGGAGGAAGUUGUACAAAAACCCCAGGGCUCUGCUUGA